GUGUCAUGAGUACACUCUAUAGACGGUGGUGGGUGUGAUAAUGAUUUAUCGCCAUU
ensembl:ncRNA K06G5.5 ncRNA